AGUGAACGCUGGCGGCAGGCCUAACACAUGCAAGUCGAGCGGCAGCGCGUCCGACCACCCUCGGGUGGUCGGAUGGCGGCGAGCGGCGGACGGGUGAGGAAUGCAUCGGAAUCUGCCUCGUUGUGGGGGAUAACGUAGGGAAACUUACGCUAAUACCGCAUACGACCUACGGGUGAAAGUGGGGGACCUUCGGGCCUCACGCGAUGAGAUGAGCCGAUGCCGGAUUAGCUAGUUGGCGGGGUAAAGGCCCACCAAGGCGACGAUCCGUAGCUGGUCUGAGAGGAUGAUCAGCCACACUGGAACUGAAACACGGUCCAGACUCCUACGGGAGGCAGCAGUGGGGAAUAUUGGACAAUGGGGGCAACCCUGAUCCAGCCAUGCCGCGUGUGUGAAGAAGGCC
rnacentral:rRNA from 1 species